GGGGCCCGCGGGGGCCGGCUCACCCGAAGUCGUCGUCCAUGGACUUGAAGAAGAACUUGUAGCUGGGGCGCUGCAGCACGCCCUUGAAGUCGGCCAGGGUGACGCGCUCGGCGGGCAGCGGCAGCUUCACCAGGACAGAGAGAAAUCGAGAGAGGAGGGGGAGAGAAAGAUAGACACCUGCAGACCUGCUUGACCGCCUGUGAAGCGACUCCCCUGCUGGUGGGGAACCAGGAUCCUUGCACUGGUCCUUUGCACCAUGUGCGCUACCACCCGGCCUGAACACCAAGUUGCAAAUGCUACCUUGACACCAACCUGACUCCCCUGGGCAGUCAACCCCACCGUGUCCUAGAACCCCAUUUCUCCAGAGCCUUGCCCCACUACGGAAUGAGAGACAGGCUGGGAGUAUGGAUCCGCCUGCCAAUGCUCAUGUUCAGUGGGGAAACAAUUACAGAAGCCAGACCUCCCACCUUCUGCACCUCAUAAUGACCCUGGGUCCAUACUCCCAGAGGGAUAAAGAAUAGGAAAGCUAUCGGGGGAGGGGAUGGAUAGGGAGUUCUGGUGGUGGGAAAUGUGUGGGAUUUUACCCCUCUUACCCUAUGGUUUUGUCAAUAUUUUCUAUUUUAUAAAUAAAAUUUUAAAAAAU